AGAUGCAUCCCCUGGGACCUUGUUAAAAUGCAGAUUCUCAUUCAGGGGCCUGAGUGGCCUGAGAUUCUGCAUUCCUAACAGACUCCCAAGGGAUACCACU
rnacentral:pre_miRNA from 1 species